rnacentral:rRNA from 1 species
UAGGGAAUCUUCCACAAUGGACGAAAGUCUGAUGGAGCAACGCCGCGUGAGUGAAGAAGGGUUUCGGCUCGUAAAACUCAGUUGUUAAAGAAGAACAUAUCUGAGAGUAACUGUUCAGGUAUUGACGGUAUUUAACCAGAAAGCCACGGCUAACUACGUGCCAG